AUGUGUGGCAAUAGAUUUUUCAUCUCAAUCUAACACUAUCGGGAGAAGUAACACUCUGUGUCUCUAACGCCAUCUCCAAAACAUCUGCUCUCUGUCUCCUCUUGUUCUUAAGUUUGCAGUGUGUUUUCUUCCAUCGAUCGUAUUUUUUAGUGGGUAUCACUUCUACCAUAUCUUUGAUCCAUCUUUAUAUGUAUUUCUAUUGAGGAAUAUCAAUGGCUUUUGUUGUUUAGGUGUUUGACAAAAUUCUUCAAUGUUAUAAAAAGUUGAAUUAGAAACACUAAUACUUCGAAAAGAAUAUUAACGAUGUCUUUGUCCCUUCUCUUUUCUGCUUGUUUCAAUUUUUGUUUUUGUUUCUUGCAUUAAAUUAUUUCAGUUGGAUUAAGCGAGUGUUUAUCUCUAAGAUUGCAAAUGCUUUAUCAUGUAAUUGAUGUCUCAUUUAUCUUGUGAGUGAAUUAUAAAGAAGUCAUCCAGAAUGUAUUUUGCACUUUCAGUGAAGAUAAGAGGCUCUUUUUUUUUUUCUUUUAAUUUUGUAUUUUUUCAUUAGUACCUUAGUUGUUUGCGUAGAGCAAUUUAGCAACUUUAGGAGAAGGCUAUAAACUGACCGCCCACACUAACAAAUACUUUGACCGAAGGUUAAAAUUCUGUCAUGAAAUGUUGCAGGAGAAAAUACCAUUAUUAAACUGAAAUUUAUUGGAUAAGAUAGCUACAAAUAACUUUGAAUCAAAUGCAUCGACAACCGGUGUAUAACACGGUAGAAUUUAGCAGUCUCUUUUGCAAAAGUUUGUUACUUUUGAUGUUGUGAUUUAUACAGGAAUAGGAAUAGCUGCCUCAACCAACCACUGAGGCUAAAUAUGUUGUAUGAACUGUAACUUUAUCACUAAAAAGUGCUCGCUAAUGUUGUUAAGAUAGAUAUUUGGACCCAUGAAGAAUUGAAUUGAAGUGAACCUAGUUUCAUGUGAGUUAUCUUUCUGUGAUAGGACUGCAUGUAAGUCCUCAAUUAGAUUACAGAAGUUGGAAGAACAGCAAUUGAAAGGGGAAGGCUACUUGGAUUCAGGAAUUAGUUUGAAUUUAAGCAAGCUUCCUAUAAGCAAUCAUAUUAAAUAGUAGUUGGACGGUAAAACAUCAUUAUUUUUCCAAAGUUUUUAGUACGUCAGAAAAGUUUGAAGUUCUAAUUUUUGAAAUUGGCAGAUAGUUUUUCUAGGAAUAGUCUUUAGUUAAUUCUUACAUGAAAAGAAUGGUAAAUUUAGAACCUAACAUAUUUAUAUUGCGAUAAAUUUGUUGCGGCCUUGUAUUGCAUUUGAUUACCUUUGUAUUGUUAAUAGAAUAAACAAUAAAAUGCGCUCCUUAAAGUCGACUAAGGUGCUUUUUUGUUUGCUUUUUUAAGAGCUAUUUGAAAAACAGAUAUCUCGCUGUAAUAAGUCCGUGAAUAAAUGUAUGCCAACCAAAGGAAUUUUAAUUUAAGAUGAGCUGAAUUAUCGAUUGACGAAAAUGGAGUUGGUGGUGAUAUCUAAGACCAUGAAUGCUUCGACAAUGUCGUCAAUUAGGUGGUAAAAUGAGUUGCCGUUGAACUUCAAGAAGAUUAAGAGAAAUAAGGAGAGGUUCUCGGUGGUGAGAGUUAAGCUACGAUAGAGCAAAAUGGUGAUUAAUUAGGGAGUCCUGUUUUCUCUAUUUUUUUUUAAUUAUUAUUUUGUAUUUUCAUUAAGAAAUUUGUGAUUUUAUCCUAAGGUUCAAAAUUGAGUUUUUGAGCAUUCUCUCAUUAUUCUCUCAUUUUGGAGAUGGACAGGACCGAACGAGUGAAAGAUCUCCAAGUGUACAUAGGAUUUUAUUGAAUUUCAUAUGGGAAUAAACAAGCAAGGAUUGCAACGCAACUGCUUGAUAGUGUUGUAGGUGGCUCAUAUUGUGAGGUGAGGAAUGAACUUUCCUGAAGAAUACUACUCCUAAGAGUUUUUGCAGUUACUUAAUGUUUUAGCAUAUUAUAGAACUUAUUUAAUCAGUUGAUUUAGACAAUCUAAUCUAGCUUUAACAGUUAUCUUUGUAUCUUCCAUUUUUGCGCAAUUUCAAAAUACAUUUGGUUUUAUUCUAGAAAUUAAUAUAAAUCCUAUGUUCUUAUAUGUUGUUCUAAAGUGUU
rnacentral:lncRNA from 1 species